CCCGCCCUCACAUGGCUCCAAGACUGAGAGGGGACCGAAAGGAGAGCUGCGUCCACAGGGAGACUAGGGCUGGGAUAGUGGCAGCCUGGGCACCAUGUGUUCCCUGAAGAACCCCAACACAGCCCAGGGAGGGUCCCAAAGGAAUCAGCCGCAUGGUCAAGACCCAGAGAUGGGGUGUCACCCCAGAGCCCAACAACUAGGCCGCACCUGCUGGUCACCUCCCACGGCGCCCACAGUCUCGUCCUCAUCCUCCUCUCACGGUGGCACCCACCCACCCUCAGACCAGACCAGGAGGCUACACCUCACAUCCGCAUCCUUAGGUGGGGCUCUCUCCCCACCCAGCAGCCGCCACCUGGGGGACCCUGGGGGCUGCCCUCGACCUGCUGUCAAGUCACCAGGGACCCUUCCCUCCAUGGAUCCUGCCUCUCACGGGGAAGAUGAGGCAAGAGGAGACCAGAGAGGCCAAGAACAGUGCCAGGCACCCAGGCAGGACUGUCCCAUGACCCACGCGGGACUGGCGCACACGGGAGAAAAUGCUGGUUACAAAGUACCUCGAGUGGGGCCUCCCGGGCAACCGGAAGCCGAGCCUCCUUGGGCACCAAGGGCAGCAGUGUUUGGGCCCAGGGGCGGGGGCUCUGGGUGGGCCGGGGCUCCCAGACUCCGGGUUCAAGGACAGAAGAAGGUGACCGAGAAGGGGCUCUGCGACCCCUGGCCCAGCGGCCCUCAGCCCCCUUCCUGUGCCAGAGGCUGCAUUUGAAACUGAAGAAGCAGCCGCAAGAUGCGCGGGCCUUUGAGAUCAGGCUGCAGAUAAUCUCCUUUGAUCAUUCAGAGGAAACCCUGAACGGGUGGAAACAGGGCUGGGAAAGUCGUGGGGCCUUCGCCCCUGUGGGGUCCGGGAAAUGUUCAUGCAAAGAGCCUCCGGAGCCGCCCAGGGCUGGCCCUUCACCCCCGGCUCUUGCCCACGCUGCCCCAGCCUGAAUUCGCUCCAGCUGCCUGGCUCCUCGUCCUCCACCAGGUCCCUGCUUGAACGUGGCUUCCUCCAGGAAGCCUUCCGGUCCUCAAACUGGAGCAUCUGAUUUGCCUGAAGUUGAGCAGGCCAGAUUUAGCACCAUCGGGAGGGGACACGGAGCCACUGCUGGAGAACAUCUGGCAGGUGGCUGGGAGUGGAGGAGGGGGAUCACAAUGAGCCAAGUGCAGAAGGGUGUCAGCCCCCUCCACCCAGGGGCCCUCCUGGGUUACCUCCCACAUACUGUGGAGCUCAACUGCCUUCAGCCAGGGGUCAGACAGAUGGCACCUUUUAUCUCUUUCUUGUUCUUUUCUGGAUCUGCCACUUAUCACUGAGGGUCCUUGAGUAAGUUCCUAGACCUCUCUGUGCCUUUGUUUCCUCAUUUAGAAAACGGAGAUGAUAUGGUACAUAUGUGGUGGGGCUGUUAUGAAAAUUAAAACAAGCCUAGAACUAAA